rnacentral:lncRNA from 1 species
GAGCAGCGGCGACUCCGCCGUCCGGCGAACCCUCUCCUCCUCGUCCUCGUUCGCGUCUUCUUCAUCUCCUCGAUCCGUCAGUACGCGGCCUCCGGCGAUGGCGAUGGUGGCAGAGGCCGACGACGACGAGGAGCACGAGAUUGGUGGGGCUCCGCGGCGGCGGUGGCCGCGGUACCGUCUGAUCGCCGAUCUCUAUGCGGCCACCGCCUUGAUCGACGACGAAAGCGGUCGCGCCGAGAAGCUGAUCGAUGGAGAAGAGCGUGGCAGUCGCCAGAAGAGGAGCA